UGUUUGAUGUUCUAACGUGGACCCGUAAUCCGGGUUGCGGACAGUGUCUGGUGGGUAGUUUGACUGGGGCGGUCUCCUCCUAAAGAGUAACGGAGGAGCACGAAGGUUGGCUAAUCCUGGUCGGACAUCAGGAGGUUAGUGCAAUGGCAUAAGCCAGCUUGACUGCGAGCGUGACGGCGCGAGCAGGUGCGAAAGCAGGUCAUAGUGAUCCGGUGGUUCUGAAUGGAAGGGCCAUCGCUCAACGGAUAAAAGGUACUCCGGGGAUAACAGGCUGAUACCGCCCAAGAGUUCAUAUCGACGGCGGUGUUUGGCACCUCGAUGUCGGCUCAUCACAUCCUGGGGCUGAAGUAGGUCCCAAGGGUAUGGCUGUUCGCCAUUUAAAGUGGUACGCGAGCUGGGUUUAGAACGUCGUGAGACAGUUCGGUCCCUAUCUGCCGUGGGCGCUGGAGAACUGAGGGGGGCUGCUCCUAGUACGAGAGGACCGGAGUGGACGCAUCACUGGUGUUCGGGUUGUCAUGCCAAUGGCACUGCCCGGUAGCUACAUGCGGAAGAGAUAAGUGCUGAAAGCAUCUAAGCACGAAACUUGCCCCGAGAUGAGUUCUCCCUGAGACUUUAGGUCUCC
rnacentral:rRNA from 1 species